UCCAGACUCCUACGGGAGGCAGCAGUGGGGAAUAUUGCACAAUGGGGGAAACCCUGAUGCAGCGACGCCGCGUGAGUGAAGAAGUAAUUCGUUAUGUAAAGCCCUAUCGGCAGGGAAGAAGCAAGACGGUACCUGACUAAGAAGCCCCGGCUAACUACGUGCCAGCAGCCGCGGUAAUACGUAGGGGGCAAGCGUUAUCCGGAUUUACUGGGUGUAAAGGGAGCGUAGACGGCAGUGUAAGUCCGGAGUGAAAGCCCGGGGCUCAACCCUGGGACUGCUCUGGAAACUGUAAAGCUGGAGUGCGGGAGGGGCAGGCGGAAUCCCUGGUGUAGCGGUGAAAUGCGUAGAUAUCAGGAGGAACACCGGCGGCGAAGGCGGCCUGCUGGACCGUAACUGACGUUGAGGCUCGAAGGCGUGGGGAGCAAACAGGAUUAGAUACCCUGGUAC
rnacentral:rRNA from 1 species